UACGGAGGUGGCGAGCGUUGUCCGAAGUUACUGGGCGUAAAGCGCGCGUAGGCGGGGGAUUAAGUGAGAAGUGAAAGGCUGGGGCUCAACUCCAUGCAGUGCUUCUCAUACUGGUCUUCUUGAGGGGGGUAGAGAGAAGUGGAAUGGCUGGUGUAGCGGUGAAAUGCGUAGAUAUCAGUCGGAACACCGAUGGCGAAGGCAGGUCUCUGGGCCGAAUACUGACGCUG
rnacentral:rRNA from 1 species